CUGGCAAUACAGGAACAGCCGACUGUCUCCACUACUCCAACUUCCCUUAGCAUGAACCAUGCUAAGUGUUUAGCUUGACUAAUGCUCUGGCUCGGCUCUAUGGCUGCUUGGAGAAAAGUAAAGUUGCCUUGUUUGGACGUUUGCUGAGAGGAUCCCACACACAGAAGGAGGAAGAGUAUGAUCAAGAGUCAGAGAGGCAAGUGGGGAUCUCAGGCAACAGUGGAGUCCCCAUAAAGCCAAGUAAUUUCAGGAGAAAGAUGCCUGCAAGCUGUCAGUCCACUUCAAAACUGGGUUGUCUGUCCUCAUAGGGAUGCUGUCUGAGUGGAAGAAGGACACGGUGACGUGAAGCACCGGAGGGAUGAGCUCGUCACCAACUCUGACAGGAAGCAUGAAUGACACCUGACACGAGGUCAGACUCUGAGUGCUGCCUGCUGCUAACUGCCGCUCGGAAAAAGACCUCUGAUUGACCAGAUCUGACAUAAAAACAAGUCUACUCCCAUACAAAGAGGUGUGAUGAUUGGACGAGGGGCAAAGCAAAAUUGAGCCUCAAUAACAGGAUUUAACUGCUGGUAUAAUACCAACUCCAAUUCCUAGAAUUACUUGUGUAUUGAUGCAACAGUAUUUACUGUGUAAUCAACAACUGAUGUCAUUGAAAUUAUUCCAACAAAACAAUUUAUGUCUGAAAAACUUAAAGUUUACCUUCUUAUCUAAUCAGAAUAGGUCAUUUCACUAAACUUAACUACUUUUAUACGGCAAUCAAAUUUGCUGAAAUUGUCUCAGUUCCUUUUUAAAGACCAAGAGGUCUAAAGUAUGGUGUUGGGGGUAAAAAGGGUCCUUCAGACUUAAAUUUAUUCUUCUCCAUUUUAUCAAGGUUAUUUUUUCAUUAUCUCUGUUCCUUCACAUUGUUUUUAGGGUCAUUGAUUACAUCUCUUUGACUUCCUUCUCCUGAGCUUUUUACCCCUUAUUUACUUUGGUGGGAUUUUUAAGCUGAAAAGUAAUUUUUUUAGGUACGGUUUUCUGUUUAAAAAAAAAACAUUACACAAAAUAUGCUGCUGUAGUUCCCAACUGUGAGUUGAGGAGCCCACUGCUGGCAAAGAAAAACCAAAUGGAGGUGUUGAGAUGAUCUCCAGAAAGUAAAUUAAAUUAUAAAUUGACUUCAAAUAAAUAGCGUUUCAGCACAAUUAUUAGAAAAGACACAAUCAGUGGAGCUUAAUGGUUGAAUAUAGCUGAAUGUUUGUUUGAGAACUUUGGCUGGAGGUCAGCAGUUUUACUAUCCUUCAAUCAUUGUGGUUGAAGAUAGUGGUUAAUGUAUGCAGCUUUAAAAGGAACUGCAGGUCGGUCACUUGAUGCCUGAUUGUUAAGUCUAGUGGUAAUCAAUCUCACCAUUGUGCUCUUUGCUUUAAGCUUCCUGAAUGCUAACCUGAUGCCUUCCUGUGUCCCCAUGUUACCUCCCAAAGCCCAACCUUGAGCCUUUCCUAGAGAAAUCCUCGAAGCCUCACCAAACCGGAAAUACCAACCUGGAUCACUCACCACUCCUCAACAAUCAUCCACUGUGGAUCUUUUAUUCCUAACUGUCCUCCAAACAUCCAAGAUGAGCACAGAUUAAUGUAAUUACAGAAUAAUAUUCACCAAUAUAAAACUGCUUCAACUCAGUUCCUCCUCCAGUGCCACCAAACGUCACACUGUGAGAAAUUUUAUGUCUCCUAUCUUAGAAACAAACGUUAAAAAGCUGCCUAAAAACAAUGAGUAAAGUCAACUUUCAGAUUUGCAUGAUCUCAACUCUAACGCAUUUAAGAACAGACAGGAAAACGUACAAUAAGUUCAACAUUGGAAAACACAUAAACUAUCAUUCUGUGUAAAAAGAAAACUCAUUGUGACACAUGGAGUUUAUAGAGAAAAUCAGUGCGUUUUACCUAAGGGGGAUGUCAGUUUUUACAGUGCAGUGACCGCAUUUACAAAAAGUAAUUGAAAAUUAUUCUUUGAACCAACCUGACUUUAAUUUCCUUUCAGAUUCAACUGGGGACCAACCAAUAAUUUCUUCACGGCUCACCUUCGGCUCAUAUUUACUGGUUCUCAGAAUCUCUCUCCAUUUUGUUGUUAACAAAUACUUGCAAACAUGACCAACAAAACCCAUUUGUGCUGUUGGUCGGAGACUUAAAAGUGUGGGAAUAAUUGUUACACUUUUUGUGAUCCUCCUUCCCUGUUUUGCUGGACGGCAAGUUUCAUAGAUAUAGCAUAAAAUGAUGAAUGCUGGAGUAGAUUUUAUUUUGGAUUGGUGUUAUGUAUCAAAUAAAGUAUUUGUGUGACUUGACUUCAGGCAUUUUUAUAUAUAUUAAUAGAUAACAGUGGUUGCUGUUGCAUUGAUGCAUAACAUUCAGAAGUAUGUUUAUUAGUUACCGGCUUCCAUUUAAUGUUAUUACCUAAUUAUUCAAAUGGAUAAAGUUUGGAACCUAGAAAGCCAUUUUUAUAAAGUAAUAAACUUCACAAAGGUGCUUACUUAAAAGGUGUGUUGCAGUGCAGCAAUUUGACGGCACAUUUUUAUUUCAUUUCAGUAUUUUGACAAAGAUGUAUUUUAGUUUUAGUCCUGUUUUAGUUAUUUGUAGUCCCUUUAGUUUCAGUCGACAGGAUUACUGUAAAUUUAAUUGACUAAAAAGUCUAAAAAUGUCUUAAUAGCUUGCUGAAAUACUUUUCCUACAAUAAAAUACAGGUAAAGUAAAAAUUUGAAAUGAACAAAUUCCAUUUAUGAACAGCUAAAACUUGGAUAAAUUGUACAAAUAGAAUCCAAGAGCAAAGUAGUCAGUUCUUUUUAAAUUGUUGGACUUUGAAUUCAUUUUAUUCAGCCAGAAUUUGUUGUGUUAGUAUUCAUUUUCUUUUUAUUCUCAGUAAAAAGAGAAUGUACUGUAUCUACAGCACUAUUGUGAGGUAAUUCUUUUAACCUGUCCAUUUAGCAGGGGUCUCCUGUUUCAGUUUGCUUCAGUUCACUUUUAAAUUUGCAGUAUUUAAAAGGAGGCUGAAAUGAUCUGUUGAGGUGUUUCUAUCUCUGUGUCCGGUUGUCUAGGACAUAUCUGAGAUCUUCUGUAAUUAAAAGAAUCAUUAGCUGAAA